rnacentral:tRNA from 1 species
UCCCUGGUGGUCCAGUGGCUAAGACUCUGCGCCUCCAACGCAGGGGCCCCAGGUUUGAUCCCUGGUGAGGGGA